UACGAAGGGGGGCUAGCGUUGCUCGGAAUCACUGGGCGUAAAGCGCACGUAGGCGGCUUCUUAAGUCAGGGGUGAAAGCCUGGAGCUCAACUCCAGAACUGCCUUUGAUACUGAGAAGCUUGAGUCCGGGAGAGGUGAGUGGAACUGCGAGUGUAGAGGUGAAAUUCGUAGAUAUUCGCAAGAACACCAGUGGCGAAGGCGGCUCACUGGCCCGAUACUGACGCUGAGGCACGAAAGCGUGGGGAGCAAACAGG
rnacentral:rRNA from 1 species